CAGCCGCCGCGGUAAAACCAGCACCUCAAGUGGUCAGGAUGAUUAUUGGGCCUAAAGCAUCCGUAGCCGGCUCUGUAAGUUUUCGGUUAAAUCUGUACGCUCAACGUACAGGCUGCCGGGAAUACUGCAGAGCUAGGGAGUGGGAGAGGUAGACGGUACUCGGUAGGAAGGGGUAAAAUCCUUUGAUCUAUUGAUGACCACCUGUGGCGAAGGCGGUCUACCAGAACACGUCCGACGGUGAGGGAUGAAAGCUGGGGGAGCAAACCGGAUUAGAUACCCGGGUAGUCCCAGCUGUAAACUAUGCAAACUCAGUGAUGCAUUGGCUUGUGGCCAAUGCAGUGCUGCAGGGAGCCGUUAAGCUUGCCGCCUGGGAAGUACGUACGCAAGUAUGAAACUUAAAGGAAUUGGCGGGGGAGCAC
rnacentral:rRNA from 1 species